GACAGAGGGUGCAAGCGUUGUUCGGAAUUACUGGGCGUAAAGCGCGUGUAGGCGGCCCUGCAAGUCGGGUGUGAAAUCCCACGGCUCAACCGUGGAAGUGCAUUCGAAACUGCAGGGCUAGAGUCCUGGAGAGGAAGGUGGAAUGCUUGGUGUAGAGGUGAAAUUCGUAGAUAUCAAGCGGAACACCGGUGGCGAAGGCGGCCUUCUGGACAGUGACUGACGCUGAGACGCGAAAGCGUGGGGAGCAAACAGG
rnacentral:rRNA from 1 species